rnacentral:rRNA from 1 species
CGUGUAGGCGGUUGGUCAAGUCUGGUGUGAAAGCCCGGGGCUUAGCCCCGGAAGUGCGCUGGAAACUAGCCAACUUGAGCGCGAUAGAGGAGGGUGGAAUUCCUGGUGUAGCGGUGAAAUGCGUAGAUAUCAGGAGGAACACCGGCGGCGAAGGCGGCCCUCUGGAUCGUUGCUGACGCUGAGACGCGAAAGCGUGGGGAGCAAACAGGAUUAGAUACCCUGGUAGUCCACGCUGUAAACUAUGGGUACUAGGUGUUCGGGGUGUUGACCCCCUGAGUGCCGACGCUAACGCAUUAAGUACCCCGCCUGGGGACUACGGCCGCAAGGCUAAA